rnacentral:rRNA from 1 species
GAUGAACGCUAGCGGCAGGCCUAACACAUGCAAGUCGAGGGGUAGCAGGAUUAAGCUUGCUUAAUUGCUGACGACCGGCGCACGGGUGCGUAACGCGUAUGCAACCUACCUUAUACUGGGGUAUAGCCCGGAGAAAUUCGGAUUAAUCCCCCAUAGUACUAAUGAAUCGCAUGGUUUAUUAGUUAAAGCAUUGCGGUAUAAGAUGGGCAUGCGUCCUAUUAGCUAGAUGGUGAGGUAACGGCUCACCAUGGCUACGAUAGGUAGGGGGCCUGAGAGGGUGGUCCCCCACACUGGUACUGGGACACGGACCAGACUCCUACGGGAGGCAGCAGGGAGGAAUAUUGGUCAAUGGGCGAGAGCCUGAACCGGCCAUGCCGCGUGCAGGAAGAAUGCCCUAUGGGUUGUAAACUGCUUUUAUUUGGGAAUAAACCUCUUUACGUGUAGAGAGCUGAAGGUACCAAAUGAAUAAGCACCGGCUAACUCCGUGCCAGCAGCCGCCGUAA